UACAGAGGUCUCAAGCGUUGUUCGGAUUCAUUGGGCGUAAAGGGUGCGUAGGUGGCGCCCGUAAGUCGGGUGUGAAAUUUCGGAGCUUAACUCCGAAACUGCAUUCGAUACUGCGGUGCUUGAGGACUGGAGAGGAGACUGGAAUUCAUGGUGUAGCAGUGAAAUGCGUAGAGAUCAUGAGGAAGACCAGUAGCGAAGGCGGGUCUCUGGACAGUUCCUGACACUGAGGCACGAAGGCCAGGGGAGCAAACGGG
rnacentral:rRNA from 1 species